GGCCUUGAUGAGUGCAAUCAGUU
rnacentral:piRNA from 1 species